rnacentral:lncRNA from 10 species
UUAUCAUUUCCCUUAGAUAGUUAAUAUAAAGAAACGAAAAGUUAGCUCCUCUGUAUUUGAUGACUAAUGAUGUAAAUACAACUAUGAAAGGAAUGGUUUAACCCGUGAAGUUUUAAAUCUGUAAGAAACACCGAUUGCAAAUCAACCUUUGAUAAAUUGACUGGACUAGUCACCACAGUUUUCUUUUAAGAAUUUCCUGGGACUAGGCAUGGUGGUUCACACCUGUAAUCCCAGAAUUUUGGGAGGCCAAGGAGGGAGGAUCACUUGAGCCCAGGAGUUUGAGUGCAAGACCAGCCUGGGCAACAUAGCGAGACCACAUCUCUACAUGAAAAAAAAGUUUAAAAAAAUUUUCCUUGGUCUGCUAAUUCAAAUUACUGUAAAUAUUGUAUUUCAAGGUAACAAAAUUCUAUAUUUUUAAAAGAUUUAUUGAAAGCCAUUUUUCACUAGUUUAUGG